GGGGAUAUAGCUCAGUUGGUAGAGUGCUUGCCUCACAUGCAUAAGGUCCUGGGUUCAAUCCCCAGCACCCCCC
rnacentral:tRNA from 1 species